CCCUUAGAUGUUCUGGGCUGCACGCGCGCUACACUGAUGCAUUCAACGAGUUGAUUUCCACCUGAACCGAGAGGCUUGGGUAAUCUUUUCAAAUUGCAUCGUGACGGGGAUAGACUCUUGCAAUUUUUAGUCUUCAACGAGGAAUUCCUAGUAAACGCAAGUCAUCAGCUUGCAUUGAUUACGUCCCUGCCCUUUGUACACACCGCCCGUCGCUCCUACCGAUUGAAUGUCAAGGUGAAAUCCUCGGAGCUAGACGUUGUUGGCGUAUGCCUCGCGUCCGGCAAAGUUGCUUAAACCUUAUCAUUUAGAGGAAGGAGAAGUCGUAACA
rnacentral:rRNA from 1 species